AUACCCCUGAGGCUCUCAGAGUGUUCACCUGCAUCUGCACUCCUCCCUCAGUGUUGCUUGUCCUCAGAAGCCUGCCAACUCUAUGGGUGCUGUCCCUGGGAAAUCCAAUUUUCUCGGUCUUGCUGCAUCUCCAGGCUUGAUGCCCACUGCUGUGGUAAUGUUAUUAAGAGGAAGUGAGUCCAUGAGGACACUAGUUUCAUUCAUCCACUCAAAGAUGGACAAGCUGUUAGGAAGGAAGUAUGGGGCCACCUUGAAGAAAAUAGAUUUACACACACACAUUAGGCUUGUAUGUAUCCAUGUGCACAACAUGCAUGCUUGCUGUCUGAAGGGUUAGAAGGGGCAUUUGGUCCUCUAGAACUGGAAUUAUGGAUGCUUCUGAGCUAGUGACUGAACCCAGAUCCUCUUCUAAAGCAACAAGUGGUCUUAACCACCAAGCCAUCUCUCCAGCCCUCCUACAGCUUCUUGAUAAAUUGUUCUCUUUCGUUUUGUAUUGGGUUUCAUUAUCUUUUCUGACUAAUUUUUUCUUGAAAUAAACUUUUUUAAGAUAUAAAAACAAAUA
rnacentral:lncRNA from 1 species